GGUUUUAAUAAUCUCAUUCUAUCCUUAACCUUGUAUAUAUUUUUUAGGUUUGAAGUUGAGAGUUAAAUUAUGGAAGUUUUGGAAAACACCUGGGAUCACAAGUGUGAAACUGGAAACUGUUGUGAAGGCAGGACAUAUAGAGGUUGAAGAAUUUACUCCUGAGCAGACACACCAAGAAAUAAGAAUCUGAAAGUGAGGGGACCUGUUUGUCCUGGAUUCACAGACACACCUGGAACUCACAGACUGUUCUGGACUGGUGCAACUUCAAAAGCUUCGUGGGGCCUCUGUGUUUUAUAGCUGGUUGUGUGGGAUGUUUGGUAUUAGUCUGUCAGAAUUCCAGGUAUGUGACAUAUCAUACAGCACAUUUCUAGACUUGCAGUCUUCUGAAAUUGAAGUAUUCUUAUUAUGACAUUUUAUCAGAACGUAAAUGAUGCAAAUGUGAAGUAUGUAUGCAUUGAUGCAAUUGAGAUAACUCUUA